rnacentral:lncRNA from 1 species
CUUUUCGGACUCAGCCCGCCUGCACCCAGGUGAAAUAAACAGCCUUGUUGCUCACACAAAGCCUGUUUGGUGGUCUCUUCACACGGAUGCGCGUGAAACCCUGUGCAUGCUGACAGAAUAUAUUUUGCACUACAAAAGAAGAAAUCCAAGCUUGUGAAUUUGGAAGUUUAUGUAGAUAUUGCUCUACACAUACCACUCUCUUCUCUAAAGUAACGAGUUUUCUCUGAGAAGAAAAAGGUGAAGAUUCCUGCCCCCAUUAUGCAAGCACUUGGCACCCGAGAAGAAAAGUUUUAUUGCCGUUUGAAUGGAAGCAGAUGGCUCCAGGUCUGACACUGGGCCUCUGAGCCCAAGCUAAGCCAUCAUAUCCUCUGUGACCUGCACAUACACAUCCAGAUGGCCAGUUGCUGCCUUAACUGAUGACAUUCCACCACAAAAGAAGUGAAAAUGGCCUGUUCCUGCCUUAACUGAUGACAUUGUCUUGUGAAAUUCCUUCUCCUUGUUCAUCCUGGCUCAAAAGCUCCCCCACUGAGCACCUUGUGACCCCCACUCCUGCCCACCAGAGAACAACCCCCCUUUUUCCUUUACCUACCUAAACCCUAUAAAACGGCCCCACCCCAUCUCCC